GUGCUCACUUUGGCAGCAUAUAAACUAAAAUUGGAAUAAUACUGAGAAGAUUAGCUUGGCCUUUAUGCAAAGACGACAUGCAAAUUCAUGAAGCUUUCCAUAUUUGG